rnacentral:lncRNA from 1 species
AUGUCCCCCUUGCUUGGGGACUGGGGCGAAGGAAAAUCGCGACGCAGCUUAGCCAAAAGGUCACAGGCAAAGCCAUGGCUCCAACGACAGGGACGGGGGACUUGUCCCCAAGACUGGGGUGGCGCAAAUCAUAAGGUCUCCCCUUUCCACUCUGGCCUCCCUUUUCGGCCUCCACUCCCCCCGGUUGCUUCGUGCGUGCGUGUGUUCUGGAUUUUUUUUUUGGGGGGGGGAGGAAUGACAGAGAGUGGGGUCCCAAGACGUGUCGUCCUGGGGAAAUGGCAGAGACUGGGGACCCAAAACGGGUGUCGCCUGGCGUGUCCCGACGCCAGGCUGCCUCUGGUUCUGCUUCUGGCCUCCACAGGGUCUUCUCAUCAAGCCUCCCUCCUCGGCGACCCUGCCACUGCGACCUCCACCCCCUCCGAAAAGCCAUCGAUCCCUCUCGACACCCGGCCGCCACCGUGGAACCCAGAGACGCGCGACAAGUUGAGAGGUGAGGACGGCCACACCCCAAGCAAAGGGGGCCUGAGCGCCGAGCCUUUUCCCCUCUCCUUCUCUGUCUCGUUGUGAGUUCGAGGCUGGCCACCGCGCAAUGAAAGAUUCCAAACGGCCCGGGUUUGAUUGAACACGGAUCCGGGCGCUGUUGUCCGCGUCUACGCGGGGAACCGAGAGGCUGCAGCCUCCCCAUUCUUAUGGAAAUGCCACUAAACGGAUUGUGACUCGAGUUUGGGGGCCGCUGGGGGAUGCAAGGGGGGAAACUUCGCGCGACCUGGCGCAGUCUGCAACCCCGACAACCGCACGCCCCCACCCUCCAGCCUCCGGGGACAAAGGGGCGAGCGCGAGUGGAGGCCGUGCAGGCGGCGGGGACGAGGCCGGGUUAAGCCUCGCAAAGCCGGCGCACGGGACCGGCCGGCAGGUGCAGCGGCUCGGAGGAGGCCCGGCUGGGGACACAGCUCGGCGCUCGGAUAAAAACGCUGGUCGUUGGAUAAAAACGCUGGCCGUUGGAAAAAAACGCUCCUCGUUGGAUAAAAACGCCCGUCGUUGGAGAAAAACGCUGAGCGUCUGAUUGUUUAUCAACUAACNNNNNNNNNNNNNNNNNNNNNNNNNUGGUUG